rnacentral:rRNA from 1 species
AAUGGGCGAAAGCCUGACGCAGCCACGCCGCGUGGAGGAAGACACCCUAUGGGGCGUAAACUCCUUUUAUAUGAGAAGAAUGCCUUGGUCGCCAAGGAGAGACGGUAUCAUAUGAAUAAGCCACCGGCUAACUCCGUGCCAGCAGCCGCGGUAAUACGGAGGGGGCAAAGCGUUGUCCGGAUUCACUGGGUGUAAAGGGUGUGCAGGCGGAGCAGCUAGUCAGUGGUGAAAGCCCGUAGCUUAACUAUGGAACUGCUAUUGAUACUACUGCUCUUGAGUAUUGGAGAGGCUACUAGAAUUCGUGGUGUAGCGGUGAAAUGCGUAGAUAUCACGAGGAAUACCAGAGGCGUAAGCGGGUAGCUGGACAAAUACUGACGCUGAGGCACGAAAGCGUGGGGAGCAAAUAGGAUU